CCUGGGACCGGAUCGAUCCCGGCUCGGCCCUGCUGGCCGCCCAUCUGCCGGCGGAGC
rnacentral:ncRNA from 1 species